AUAUCGCCCGCCUCAGCAAGCCGU
rnacentral:siRNA from 1 species